rnacentral:rRNA from 1 species
GAUGAACGCUGGCGGCGUGCCUAAUACAUGCAAGUCGAGCGAACGGACGAGAAGCUUGCUUCUCUGAUGUUAGCGGCGGACGGGUGAGUAACACGUGGAUAACCUACCUAUAUGACUGGGAUAACUUCGGGAAACCGGAGCUUAUACCGGCUUAUAUUUUGAACCGCAUGGUUCAAAAGUUAAAGACGGUCUUGCUGUCACUUAUCGAUGGAUCCGCGCUGCAUUAGCUAGUUGGUCAGGUAACGGCUUACCAAGGCAACGAUGCAUAGCCGACCUGAGAGGGUGAUCGGCCACACUGGAACUGAGACACGGUCCAGACUCCUACGGGAGGCAGCAGUAGGGAAUCUUCCGCAAUGGGCGAAAGCCUGACGGAGCAACGCCGCGUGAGUGAUGAAGGUCUUCGGAUCGUAAAACUCUGUUAUUAGGGAAGAACAUAUGUGUAAGUAACUGUGCACAUCUUGACGGUACCUAAUCAGAAAGCCACGGCUAACUACGUG